AUGUAAUGUGGCCGUCCAAUCACAGACUUCUCAUUGCCUGCCUCCUCCACUGAGCUAAACAACCAGGAAGUAACAUGACUUGUUAUCUGAUUGAUUGUCAGGGGUGUUAAACAUAGCUAAUUUAUGAUAGUGGUAAUUUCAAUUAAAAUCUGCACUUUUUUGCAAAAUGAAAAAAGAGGACACACUUCACACAUAAAUCUUCAUAAAGACACAAAAAGCACAUCAGAAAGAUUUAAAUGCUUUAGGUAUGUGCAGUGUUCCUUUAAUGAACCCCAAAAUCUUACUAAGUUUGCUGUAUG